GUUGAUCUCUCUGCAUGAGGAGCUACCACGUGUGUCUUAGAUGUCCUCCCUUCCCUUUUGGUGUCUUGAUGCCAAAGGGGGAGAAAGUGUAGGAUUUGCGACUUCCUGCAUUUUCUGUGUCUCCUUGUUCGUUGAACCUUCAUCGUUGCUUUGGUUGGUUUUAUUUUAUGUGUGGGACCAGAAGACUUAUUCUAUCAUAUGGUGUGAGACAUAUGCUAUCACUCUUCUCU
rnacentral:lncRNA from 1 species